rnacentral:rRNA from 1 species
CGAACGGAUCUUAGGUUUAGUGGCGGACGGGUGAGUAACUCGUGAGAAUCUAGCUUCAGGUCGGGGACAACCACUGGAAACGGUGGCUAAUACCGGAUGUGCCGAAAGGUGAAAGAUUUAUUGCCUGAAGAUGAGCUCGCGUCUGAUUAGCUAGUUGGUGUGGUAAGAGCGCACCAAGGCGACGAUCAGUAGCUGGUCUGAGAGGAUGAUCAGCCACACUGGGACUGAGACACGGCCCAGACUCCUACGGGAGGCAGCAGUGGGGAAUUUUCCGCAAUGGGCGAAAGCCUGACGGAGCAAUACCGCGUGAGGGAGGAAGGCUCUUGGGUUGUAAACCUCUUUUCUCAGGGAAUAAGUUCUGAAGGUACCUGAGGAAUAAGCAUCGGCUAACUCCGUGCCAGCAGCCGCGGUAAUACGGAGGAUGCAAGCGUUAUCCGGAAUGAUUGGGCGUAAAGCGUCCGCAGGUGGCACUGUAAGUCUGCUGUUAAAGAGCAAGGCUCAACCUUGUAAAGGCAGUGGAAACUACAGAGCUAGAGUACGUUCGGGGCAGAGGGAAUUCCUGGUGUAGCGGUGAAAUGCGUAGAGAUCAGGAAGAACACCGGUGGCGAAAGCGCUCUGCUAGGCCGUAACUGACACUGAGGGACGAAAGCUAGGGGAGCGAAUGGGAUUAGAUACCCCUGUAGUCAAAA